rnacentral:vault_RNA from 1 species
GUGCUGGUCUGGCUCAGUGGUUACUUGAACUUUCUCUAUCAGAACAGUUCGUUACCUCUGCAAAGGUGUCGAACCACGGGCGUGCUGUCCAGUGUUUUG